GGCACCCGCUGCGGCAGUGGCGGCGGCCGCUGCGCCCGCGCCGCGCAUCGCGAUCGUCGGCUCGGGCCCGGCCGGCUGCUUC
rnacentral:tRNA from 1 species